GUACACACCGCCCGUCACACCAUGGGAGUUGGAUUCACCCGAAGGCGCUGCGCUAACUCGCAAGAGAGGCAGGCGACCACGGUGGGUUUAGCGACUGGGGUGAAGUCGUAACAAGGUAACCGUAGGUAACCUGCAGAAGGAUCA
rnacentral:rRNA from 1 species